GGACUACAGGGGUUUCUAAUCCUGUUUGCUCCCCUUGCUCUCGCGCCUCAGCGUCAGGUGUAAACUAGAAAACCGCUUUCGCCACAGGUGUUCUUCCACAUAUCUACGCAUUUCACCGCUACACGUGGAAUUCCGUUUUCUCCGUCAUACCUCAAGAAUAGUAGUUUCAAAUGCAGCUCCGAAGUUGAGCUUCGGAAUUUCACAUCUGACUUGCUUUCCCGCCUACGCGCCCUUUACGCCCAAUAAUUCCGAUUAAUGCUUGCACUCUCCGUAUUACCGCGGCUGCUGGCAC
rnacentral:rRNA from 1 species